rnacentral:misc_RNA from 1 species
AGCAGCCGCGGUAAUUCCAGCUCCAAUAGCGUAUAUUAAAGUUGUUGCAGUUAAAAAGCUCGUAGUUGAAUUUCGGAAUCAAUGGAUCGGUCAUGCCACUCGGUGUGUACUGGUUUGAUUGGUUCUCACCUUCUAAGGAACCGUGAUGCCAUUAAUCUGGUGUCGCGGGGAAUUAGGACUGUUACUUUGAAAAAAUUAGAGUGUUUAAAGCAAGCUCACGCUUGAAUACAUUAGCAUGGAAUAAUGAAAUAGGACAUUGUAUUCUAUUUUGUUGGUUUCUAGGAUCGAUGUAAUGAUUAAUAGGGAUAGUUGGGGGCAUUAGUAUUCAAUUGUCAGAGGUGAAAUUCUUGGAUUUAUUGAAGACUAACUACUGCGAAAGCAUUUGCCAAGGAUGUUUUCAUUAAUCAAGAACGAAAGUUAGGGGAUCGAAGACGAUCAGAUACCGUCGUAGUCUUAACCAUAAACUAUGCCGACUAGGGAUCGGAUGAUGUUAAUUUUUUAAUGACUCAUUCGGCGCCUU